GGAUGGCAGGUGCGUGCCACUGUGCCGGGCUGGCUUUAGAUUUUUUUUUUUUUUUAUUGCUGUCUAAAUGACCGCGGGUCAUUGCUGUAAUGCACACUGCAGAACUGGGGGCCAGUCAGAGCUGGGGACACGCUUGGGGUCUGGGAUGUGGCUUGGAACACCUGCAGGGAGAGGGCAGAGACGGCCGGCAUGGUGUGACUCCAGAGCUCCUGCCGUGUGAGCCCCGGCGGCCCCAGUGGACCGCUCCCUCACGCCCUCUGUUCUGCAGCACCCCACGUCUGACGGCCCCACAGCGUGGCUCCUGGGGCAGGUUCACCUGUACGUCUCCUCCUUGGGGCUGGGUCUGUGGAAGGGCCCUCUGUCUUCGUUCCCCCCGCUGGGCUGCCGUCCUCCGGGCUGGCCAGCCUGGGGGAACUCGGGAAGGCGGGCAGGGCUCUUUCUACCUGCCGGGCACCAUCCUGGAACCAGGUCCCCAUUCAGGCAUUUCCAUUCUCCUCCAGGAACAGGCAGGCCGUCCCUCCCUGGCCAUCAGGGGACUCCAGCCCCUGGUCAGAGAGCUUGGGAAGGGGACAUUCACGUGACCCAAGGCAGGCCAUGAGACCCAAUCCUGGGAAUGUAGCUCUCUUUCUUCGGGGAGCCCGGGCUGGCAGGACAGAAAGCCGGAGUUCCCGGAGUCGGCCGCGUGGACAGCUUAAGCCAAGAUGAAGCCAGACAGUCACAGAGCUGAGAGAUGGAGCCGGCAGGGAGACACCCGGGAACCUUGUUGGAGCACCUGGAUCCAGCUUUGCCUGAGGCCAUCCACCUCUUUUGGCUUAGGACAGCUGGCAUUGUUUCUGUACUUGCAACUGGUUCUAAGGCAGAGAGUGUGUGUCACUUCCACCUGUCCGUCUGUACACCAGUCUGUUCCGCAGGGCUGAGCACCUGCCCAUACCAACCCCUCCUGGUACCAGGCCUCCAUUUGAAAGGGGAGGUGGCAAGGUGACCCUAGAGCUUCUGCCAAGGCGAG
rnacentral:lncRNA from 1 species